rnacentral:snoRNA from 1 species
UUCCACAGCUACUGGUCUGCAGCUGUUCUUAAUGGUAGCAGUUGUGACACUCCUCUGUGGGGAAAAAAAAAAACUGUCAUACAAUUAAAAGCCUCUUUCUUAGCUAAAUGGAAAGUAGGCAUAUGAAUGAUAGACACAA